rnacentral:lncRNA from 1 species
AUUUUAGGAAAGGGCUCAGCAAGCUGAACACCAUAGAAAAGUCACUAGUGACCUUCAUGUAACGUUCAUCACUCAGGAUAACGGUCUACUGCAACAUCUUGAAGAGGUCAUCGCAUGAAAAAUUACAUCCUCAUGGGCUCAUGACACAGGCAACAGUCCACGCCCUUUCAGCUGUCCAUGCAUUUUCCAUUGACAGAGCGACAGAAGUGUAUAAAUGUGGACUGCAGUAUGACUUGAGUGAGAAACGGCUGUUGGCUCAUUACAUGACAAACAACAUGAGCAAGCAGGCUCUAACAGCAACUAGAAACAUAUGCUGAAAAACUCAGAAGAGCUCUGGACUCUGAGGAGUUUUUGAAGACGCUUUAGUAUGUAUGUACGGAUGAAUUAAAAAAUAGUCUGUGAAAUGAUAAUGUUUUAUUUUAUUGCCAAUAAAAGUUGUUGCUGGCUAAUUCAUUUGUCUCAACUUUUGUGUUUUGAGGUACAUAUUUUAAAGACCUGUGUAUGGUCAUAUUUAUAAAUACAUAAAUACAUUUUAUUUGUGUCAAAGGGCGAGCAAUCUUUUCUGUUAACCCAUAAGAAAUCAUCACCUUAGAGUGAUAAUUAUGGCAUCUGAUGUAGUAGGCCAAGCUCUGUGACAGUGUGGCUCUUAGAAAAACGGCUGGUGGAAACAACCUAUUUUAAAUGAAAUGACUACGACUAAUUAUUAUUAUUAUUGUAAAUAUUUUAUUUUAUUGAGUUUAAAAAAUAACCUUGUGCACAUACAUUUGUCACUUAUAUAAAAAAUGAAAAGUUGCAUGCACCAGAUUUAGCAGUCCUAUAUAAUCUUUUAUCAGAUUAAUCUUUUAUCCCAAUCUUUUAUUUUUUUUAUUACUUAACUUUCUAUUUUUGUAUAUAUUUAUUGUUUCCAGCACAUUGUUUGCAUUGAAAAGCAUUUAAUGUGUGUGUUUAAUGUUUGAAUCAACCGUUAAAGUUGUUAAAAAUGAUCUGGUUAUUGCUUUGUUUCCUUUGUGUUUGCUUUCUAAGUGCUCUGGGCCUCCACAGCCACCGUAGUGUUGUAUGGGCGUGUUUUGUAGGGGGCGUGUUUUGUAAUGGGCGUGGUUUGUAGCGGCUCUGGCUUGGCUGCGGUUGCAGCUAGACCCUUCUCCAUCACUCACGCUCUGGUCAACCCGGAAGUUUAAAAACUCUUACAGGUCAUGAACUCUCACACGCAAUAAGAAUUACUUUUCAACUGCUUUUAAAACAUUCAGAA